rnacentral:rRNA from 1 species
AUUGAACGCUGGCGGCAGGCCUAACACAUGCAAGUCGAACGAGUGGCGGACGGGUGAGUAAUGUCUGGGACACUGCCUGAUGGAGGGGGAUAACUACUGGAACCGGUAACUAAUACCGCAUACCAUCGGAUGUGCCCAGAUGGGAUUAGCUAGUAGGUGGGGUAACGGCUCACCUAGGCCACGAUCCCUAGCUGGUCUGAGAGGAUGACCGGCCACACUGGAACUGAGACACGGUCCAGACUCCUACGGGAGGCAGCAGUGGGGAAUAUUGCACAAUGGGCGCAAGCCUGAUGCAGCCAUGCCGCGGGUAUGAAGAAGGCCUUCGGGUUGUAAAGUACUUUCAGCGGGGAGGCGUUACCCGCACAAGAAGCACCGGCUAACUCCGUGCCAGCAGCCGCGGUAAUAC